GGGGGUAGAUAAGAGCUGGUGUUCUUGCCGGUCUUCAAAACCGUGUUGUCGUGCUAGGACCACGAUGGGUAGGUUCGAUUCCUACAUACUCCCGCCA
rnacentral:tRNA from 1 species